rnacentral:lncRNA from 1 species
CUAAAAUCACAAAAUAAAUAAACCUAAGUCACAAACUAAAAUCACAAAGAAAAAUUUCCCCAACUUUGUAUUAUGUUCAAAAAUAAGAGCUGAAAACCAAGAAGACUGCACUGUAAAUGAGUCUUAUCUGUUCUGACCUGGACAGACCUCUGGCUGAUUGCUCUGUGCCUGGUUCUGGAGCUGCUUCCCAGGACAUUCGGAGUGGACAAAGGGAAGACUAUCAAACCACAACAGAGCAAAAUCAGAAGUCCAGACAAGAUAUGCCAAAGAAAUAUGACACAUCACCAACAGGGGAACACCAAUUUGAGUGGCAACAGACUCCUCAACUGAAACCAAGGAGUAAAAGAAGUGGACAAUAUUUUUCAAGUGCUGAGAGAAAAGAACUGGCAACUAUUCAGUCUAUAUCCUGUGAAACUAUCUUUUGAAAAUUAAGAGGAAAUAAAGACAUUCUCAGACAAAGUAAAACUAAAUAU